rnacentral:rRNA from 1 species
UACGAGGGGUGUAAACGUUAUUCGGAAUCAUUGGGCGUAAAGGGUGUGUAGACGGCGAAUUAAGUCAAUUAUUAAAUCUUCUGGCCUAACCAGAAGCUUGUGGUUGAGACUGAUUUGCUAGAGGGCGGAAGAGAGAAGUGGAAUUCUCGGAGUAGCGGUAAAAUGCGUAGAUCUCGAGAGGAACACCGAUGGCGAAGGCAGCUUCUUGGUCCGCACCUGACGUUGAGGCACGAAAGCGUGGGGAGCAAACAGG